UAAAAGAAAAACCUUACAAUGGAGGUCGCCCAUGUCCCAGACUGGAUCUCAAGAAUCAGGUGCAUGAGGCAGUCCCAUGCUACAGUGAAUGCAAUCAGUAUUCCUGGAUUGUAGAACACUGGUCUCCAUGCAAAAUCCACAAUGAGCUGAGGUCUCUGCGCUGCGGAGAAGGAAUGCAAUCUAGGAAAAUCAGAUGUGUGAAUACUGCUGAUAGUGAAGGGGGAGCCGUGGAUAACAGCCUGUGCAGCCAGGAUGAAAUUCCCCCAGAGACCCAGUCGUGCUCUCUUCUGUGUCCCAGUGAAUGUGUCAUGUCCGAGUGGGGGCCUUGGCACACA